rnacentral:lncRNA from 13 species
CACUACGGUCUGAACGUUGGCCCUGGCAACAUAGCGGUGGUCUCUCCAGCGGGUCAGUAUAACGACAUGGGUCAGGGUCAUCCCGAGGACCAACAACAACAAUGGGCUGCUCCACUACCACCUGACUAUUCCACCGGGCUGGAGGACACCGGCUGCUUUGAUGACAAAGCCAUAAGAAGAGGUUAGUCACUGCCUACGUCUGAAAUGGUACCCUAAUUUUGCUAUGUAGUUGCCUACUUUUGACCAGCGCCCAUAGGGUUCUGUUGAAAAGUAGUGUGCACUACAUAGGGAAUAGGGGGCCAUUUGAGACUCAGCACAGGUUUUUUUUUUUGGGGGGGGGGGGGGGGGNNNNNNNNNNUAAACUAACUCCUAACCUUAACCCUUUAAACUAACUCCUAACCUUAACUAACUCCUAACCUUAACCCUUUAAACUAACUCCUAACCUUAACCCUUUAAACUAACUCCUAACCUUAACUAACUCCUAACCUUAACCCUUUAAACUAACACCUAACCUUAACCCUUUAAACUAUCUCCUAACCUUAACCUUUUAAACUAACUCCUAACCUUAACCCUAUAAACUAACUCUAACCUUAACCCUUUAAACUAACUCCUAACCUUAACCCUUUAAACUAACCCCUAACCUUAACCUUUUCCUUAAAGAUGUAUAAUUUAGCUGAAAGCAAAGUCCCGUCUCUGUGGGAAAACCACUGUUUCCGUCCCCAAAACGGUAACUUAUUCCCUACAUGGUAGUGCACCACAUAGGGAUCAGGGUGAAUAGAUGUCCGUUUGUGAUGCAGCCCAACUGAUUACAGGUGGACUUUGGCCCUGGAGGGACUGUUACAGGAAGAGACAGACCGGAGCGCUGUGGAAGAGGAGGGUAACAUGGAUCCAUCGAAAAGAAGCAGUGAAGUCCAACUCCCACCGCCCUACUCUCAGGACGAUGGCCAACAGAACACCUAUGGCCAACAGAACACCUAUGGCCAACAGAACACCUAUGGCCAACAGAACACCUAUGGCCAACAGAACACCUAUGGCCAACAGAACUACAGUUCUCCCCACUACGGUCUGAACGUUGGCCCUGGCAACAUAGCGGUGGUCUCUCCAGCGGGUCAGUAUAACGACAUGGGUCAGGGUCAUCCCGAGGACCAACAACA